AGCAGCCGCGGUAAUUCCAGCUCCAAUAGCGUAUAUUAAAGUUGUUGCAGUUAAAAAGCUCGUAGUUGAAUUUCGGGGUCAGUAGGUUGGUCAUGCCACUGGUGUGUACUGGCCUCACUGAUUCCUCCUUCCUGAUGAGCCGUAAUGCCAUUAAUUUGGUGUUGCGAGGAAUCUGGACUGUUACUUUGAAAAAUUAGAGUGUUUAAAGCAGGCUAACGCUUGAAUACAUUAGCAUGGAAUAAUGAAAUAGGACGUUCGAUCUUAUUUUGUUGGUUUCUAAGAUUGACGUAAUGAUUAAUAGGGAUAGUUGGGGGCAUUAGUAUUCAAUUGUCAGAGGUGAAAUUCUUGGAUUUAUUGAAGACUAACUACUGCGAAAGCAUUUGCCAAGGAUGUU
rnacentral:rRNA from 1 species